CGUCCAUUUUGGCUACUUGCUCUUCAUAGAAGUACUCUAGCUCGUACAUGGACAGCACGCCAUCGCCGUCAAGAUCCAUACAACGGAACCAGUACUCUAUACUGAGUGGGAGAGGGUCAGCAAGUUGUCAGGAAAAAGGGAAUAACUUUAGCUACUGCACCUUCUUGGGUGUUUUUUGUCUUCUUCUGACAGCAGGAACCACACAUACUUAGGGUAAGUCAUUUUCCCUUCCAAGUACGUUUUACCCCUGAGAUAAAAUAACACAAGUUAACACAAGGUAUUUCUCUUAACCGGAAAUUUGCUCAAAAUUACGCCAAUUUGCUUGCACUAAUUUGCUCAAAAUUACGCCAAUUUGCUUGCACUAAUUUGCUCAAAAUUACGCCAAUUUGCUUGCACUAAUUUGCUCAAAAUUCUAGAAAAGAGCUCUGGGGGAUGCUACCCAAUGCUAGAAUUUUCAUAAAAAGUGCUUACACACUAAGUCCCAUUGAUAAUUUUUAACUGCUCUGCAUCUUAGCCGGAUUACUCAUCUAGAUUCACAGUGAAGCACAAUUGAUCCUGUCUCGAGAUGUUACUUUGGGCUUCAAACAAAAAAGCUACAUAUAAUUUCAUUUUUCAUAAGAUCGAGUGAUUUUUCAAUAAGAAGAUACAUCUGUUUGUCGGUCUAGGAGGGGUGUGAAUACCCCCUGUACCCACGUUAGCUAUAGGUCUACACACAGCUGGUGGUUCAGCUACUAUAAUCCUUACGAUGAUCUGGUGUGCUGAAAGAACCAUACCUUGUGACACAGCCUGAAAAAAGUCUUUUCACCAUCCUAGAGGAGAGGGCUGCAAACAAUACCAAGAGCUAAAUGUUAACAUGUGCAAGUGCAAGCUUAAUGUUUACAUGUGCAAGUGCAAACUAAAUGUUAACAUGUGCAAGUGCAAGCUAAAUGUUAACAUGUGCAAGUGCAAGCUAAAUGUUAACAUGUGCAAGUAGAUUGUUUGGAUAUAAUGUGGCACAAAACAAUUAGCCAACAAACAAUAACACAUGAAAAAUAAAUAAAAGAUCGUUUGGAUAUAACCUCUGCAACUGGAAAUCCCUCAGGUAACAAAUCAGUGGAACACUAAAAACUGUUGGCUACUUCAUGCCUAAUUCUAAUGGUCGGAUUUGAGCUUAGGGCUAUGUCUCUCACCAUGGUUGCUGUGUUUACAGAGGUCCUUCUCAUCAAUCAACAAGUCAUGGUCUGUGUCAAGCUCCCAGAACUUGCAGUAUAUUACAUAAAAAUGUUCAUAUGAAAAAUACUCCAGCACCUAGAAAAACAGCGAGAUCUGAGCACCAGAAACACUCUUGUGUGUUAUACAUCAUUUUUACAUGAAUUAGGCAUGUGUUGUACCUCAUUAAAAUGUGAGAGUGUGUGUUGUAACUGAUUUAUAUGUAAAUCGAAAGUUUUUACCUCAUUUAUACGAAAGGUGUUUGUUAAAAGUCAUUUUUGUACAUAUAUAAGGCAUGUGUUUAUUUAUACAUAUAUGUAAAAGGCAUGUGUUAUGCCUUACAUAUAUAAGGAAUGUGUUAUACCUCAUUUAUACAUAUAAGGCAUGUGUUAUACCUCAUUCAUACAUAAAGUAUAUAAGGAAUGUGUUAUACCUCAUUUAUAUCUUCCUCCUCCUCAAGAGAUGCUAAAACCUGAAAAUAGAGAUGAAAAUGAGAAUGGUGAACAUGAGAAUGGUGGAGAACUAAAGCUGUCUUUUAUCAACCUUACUAAGUGUUGGCGUAUCUUGCCAUGAGUGUAGCUAGGGGUGUGCAUGGGAAGGAUCAUCAAAUAAUAUACUCAAAAUCCCAAAAUACCUAUGACUGCAAAAAUAUUGGGUGUGGGCCUGCUUCGUCUAGGAGCUCCCCCCUUAUCAUUUUUGGCAACCCUCAAGCCUUUUUUCAUCAUAAACCCUACCUCUAAAAAGUUACUAUGUCUCACUUCUGGUAUUGUUAUCUUUCCUGUCCAUGAACUGUUUACACUGUAGAAGAUUCUUGCUAUAACCUGAAAUAAAGGAAAAUACUGUACAUAAAACAAUUCA